rnacentral:rRNA from 1 species
AUUGAACGCUGGCGGCAUGCCUUACACAUGCAAGUCGAACGGCAGCACGGGAGCAAUCCUGGUGGCGAGUGGCGAACGGGUGAGUAAUAUAUCGGAACGUGCCCAGUCGUGGGGGAUAACGUAGCGAAAGCUACGCUAAUACCGCAUACGAUCUAUGGAUGAAAGCGGGGGAUCGCAAGACCUCGCGCGAUUGGAGCGGCCGAUAUCAGAUUAGGUAGUUGGUGAGGUAAAGGCUCACCAAGCCGACGAUCUGUAGCUGGUCUGAGAGGACGACCAGCCACACUGGAACUGAGACACGGCCCAGACUCCUACGGGAGGCAGCAGUGGGGAAUUUUUGGACAAUGGGCGCAAGCCUGAUCCAGCAAUGCCGCGUGCAGGAUGAAGG